CUGUGUAGUGUGCCGCGGUGUCACUUCAACAACAAGUGGCGUGGGGUUAGACACUGGUGGUGCGGUGCGGUACUAGUGGUGGUGGCCGAUCGACGACUAGCUCGAGGGGCGGGGAUCUAAGGGUCGCGGAGGAGGGGUAAGGAGAGAGAGAGAUCGGAGAAGAACACCACAAACACGCCGCGUGCGUACGGCGACGACGGCGCGUGUGCCGGGGUUGUCACUCUCCCCCCCGACCCGUCCCCUCCCUGCGGCGGACGCUGACGUUUCGACAGUAGAAGACGGGGGCCCGGAGCGGAGCGGGGAUUAUUGUCACCUCUAAGGGCGGAGGGGCGGGGGUUAAUACCUAUGGGCGCGCCCCUCCUCUUCUUCUAUCCUCCCCUCCUGCUCCGCGCUCCGGCGCCGGUAACGAGGCCGAGGUCCCGGUAUCGAAGAGGACAGGUAGUGUAGACAGUUGACAAGCCGUGUUACUCCGGAAGUCUACUGUCCUACGUCGAGAGUCCAAACUGCGUCAGCCUUCUCAGUAGCGAACUGCACCUCCCCGUAACGAGAGUGGUGCUCCGUAAAGGAACAAGAGGUAGCUACGUUGGUCAACGAAGACCCACGCACGUGUGUCUUUUAUCGCGCCGUAUGAAGAAUACCGGCUGAAGUUUGGACGUCGUAACACGCCGCCUCCCUGCCCGUUUGAUGAAACCCUUGGAGGUCUUUCCUAACGACGGCUAUGAGGGACCUUUCAACGGGUUCCCAGUCGUUCGUUUAUCGAACGAGCUGAACUACUGGUAUUCUCGAAAGGUGUCGUUCUAUAACUUCGCAAAGUCAGAGCCUUGGCGUCACCCGAAGGCGUAUUGUUUUCCCCAAGAGUGUCUUUGGGGGCGGUAAGAACAGAAGCAACGAGCUUUCCAAGUGUUCUUUACCGAAUUAGGCUUGGUUACGGAAGGACGCUAAGAACGCCCAGGUCCUCCACAAACCACACUACAGCUACAGCAUCUUAAAAGUAUGAUACCACGUGGCCGAGUUUGUGGAUUUCUUGUCUACAAAUCACUCGAACAAUUAUUCGACACACCGUCACUGCUUAUAUAACCAAGUCCGAGAGUCCAACGUUCGGUCCUAUGCAAACCUUGAAACCCACGUUAACACUUUGCUGCGUGGUUGUUGUUCGUUCAACCAAAGGAGUGCUUGGCUGUACAACGUCAACUAAACCUGAUAGGAUUGGUCUUCUACAAAGUGGGCAACGGCGGCUUAGAACCCGGACCACAAAUAGAACCCCGACAGCUCUCCCGUUGUAGAAAGUAGUGUCUACUACAAACCAUACCUUAAAUACGACCUUGUUUGGGUCUCUGUAAACAUGCUCGACUGCCACGUAAGUAGGGUAAACGACUACUGAAACUGUAAAGGUGUCAGUGUUGAUAUCAAUCCCUUCAGCCACUCUAACCCCUACAAUUCUAAUAUCUAGACGUCACAGGAUAGUUCUCGGAGUAGCCCUCCGUUCAAACGUUUCAGCCGUCUUCGAGACCAGUGUGUUGACCCUGACACUACCGUAUACGGGAACUCAUGUUACUACUCUUUCCUUAUACGAAGAAGUGACUGGAGGAGCAGCAACCACUCUUGGCGGUUUGUAAACUAAACCUCCCACUGUCGCCUUCGGAAUAAUAGGACUGGUCGGUCCUACCCCUCUUCGGUGCAGGAUAACCCUAUUAUACCCCACCGUGUCGUUUGGCACCCUCCUAUUUCGAGUGUUCACUCAUACCGGGACUUUUGACCUGGUGUCCCCAACUAGAACCGGCGGAAGAACUAGCAGAUCUUGAACUAGAAUAUUAUUUGCUGCUUAGCGAGUUUCUACGACACGUCCUCGUUUCUUUUCGGAAACACCGACGUUAAUUGAGACGAUAACCCCUCAGGAGACGCCACUGACAAUGACGGGGUCUUCGGUGGGGCCGUCUCUUCCAACUUCUCUAGAAACUCGGAGAACCCUAGGUUUAAGUCGUCGACGGAGCAGUACUGGACCGUUCGCGGUGUUGGCUUCCCCUCCCGCGUCGGUUGUGUGGGAGGCUGUACCUUCUCGCAGUCAAGUAGAGCUUGAAGCAACCGUACAGAGGGCACGCGGCACUGGUGCUACGAGCCUCCUCGUAGCGGUUGGACUUGUUGGGCAGUCUCCUUCUCGAGCGGUACAGCGACGUGGAUCCGCUGGCCCUCGGGUUCGCCGAGGCAGACCUGGGCCUCAGGUCGGACCUGGAACUUUUUGUCGGAGUAGGCCUGGGCCUUGGCUCGGACCUGGACCUCCUCGCUGGAGCAGGUCUGGGUCUUUACUACUCGGAUCUGGACCUCUUCGUCGGAGCAGGCCUGGGCCUUGGCCCGGACCUGGACCUCUUCGUCGGAGCGAGCCUGGGCCUUGGCCCGGACCUGGACCUCUUCGCGGAAGGUCGGCUGGGCCUCGGCUCGUAUCUGGACCUCUUUACUUCGCGACUAGGCUUACUGUAAAGACCCUACUCGGACGGGACACCUGCUAGUUUCGCUCAUCUACCUUCUUGGGGACGCCAAGUCGUUUGACUUGGACGUUACAAUCAAAUACAAUUGACGAUGAUAACCGAAGCGUCCUUCGUAUAGCAUAGUACAGUACAUGAUGAUACCGUGAACUAAGUCGGGAACAUCCUACAACAACCCACCAUAUCGGGACGUCAAAACGACACGAGUAUUCUAAACUAUAUGUCUUACGACUUAGACUUAGAGAAAAGAACCUCUUCUGUUACACGGCCCUGUCUACUCUGAGACCAAGUGGGGAACAUCCUACAACGAUCUACUAACUAGAAAGAUAACACGAUUA
rnacentral:rRNA from 1 species